UACAGAGGGUGCGAGCGUUACUCGGAAUUACUGGGCGUAAAGCGCACGUAGGUGGCGACGUAAGUCGGGUGUGAAAGCCCCGGGCUCAACCUGGGAAUUGCAUUCGAGACUGCAUUGCUGGAGUACGGAAGAGGAGGGCGGAAUUCCCGGUGUAGCGGUGAAAUGCGUAGAUAUCGGGAGGAACAUCAGUGGCGGAGGCGGCCGCCUGGACAUUUACUGACGCUGAGACGCGAAAGCGUGGGGAGCAAACAGG
rnacentral:rRNA from 1 species